AUUGAACGCUGGCGGCAGGCCUAACACAUGCAAGUCGGACGAGUGGCGGACGGGUGAGUAAUGUCUGGGGAACUGCCUGAUGGAGGGGGAUAACUACUGGAAACGGUAGCUAAUACCGCAUACCAUCGGAUGUACCCAUAUGGGAUUAGCUUGUAGGUGGGGUAACGGCUCACCUAGGCGACGAUCCCUAGCUGGUCUGAGAGGAUGACCAGCCACACGGGAACCGAGACACGGCCCAGACUCCGACGGGAGGCAGCAGUGGGGAAUAUGGCACAAGGGGCGCAAGCCUGAUGCAGCCAUGCCGCGUGUAUGAAGAAGGCCUUCGGGUUGUAAAGUACUUUCAGCGGGGAGGCGUUACCCGCAGAAGAAGCACCGGCUAACUCCGUGCCAGCAGCCGCGGUAAGUC
rnacentral:rRNA from 1 species